GGCGCGUUAGCUCAGGCUGGUAGAGCAAACGACUCAUAAUCGUUGGGUCACCGGUUCGACUCCGGUACGCGCCA
rnacentral:tRNA from 1 species